GACGAACGCUGGCGGCGUGCCUAAUACAUGCAAGUCGAACGCAGUGGGGACGGGUGAGUAACAAGUGGGUAACCUCCCAUCAGAGGGGAUAACACUUGGAAACAGGAGCUAAACAGAUACUGUUUGCUGAACACGCGGUGCAUUAUCUAGUUGGGGAGGUAAAGGCUCACCAAGGCCACGAGGCAUAGCCGCCCGGUGAGGGUGAUCGGCCCAACUGGGACUGAUCCACGGCCCAGACUCCUACGGGAGGCAGCAGUAGGGAAUCUUCGGCAAUGGACGAAAGUCUUACCGAGCAACGCCGCGUGAGUGAAGAAGGUUUUCGGAUCGUAAAACUCUGUUGUUAGAGAAGCGGUAUCUAACCAGAAAGCCACGGCUAACUACGUGCCAGCAGCCGCGGUAAUUC
rnacentral:rRNA from 1 species